rnacentral:rRNA from 1 species
UACGUAGGGUGCAAGCGUUAAUCGGAAUUACUGGGCGUAAAGCGUGCGCAGGCGGUGAUGUAAGACAGGUGUGAAAUCCCCGGGCUUAACCUGGGAACUGCAUUCGUGACUGCAUCGCUGGAGUGCGGCAGAGGGGGAUGGAAUUCCGCGUGUAGCAGUGAAAUGCGUAGAUAUGCGGAGGAACACCGAUGGCGAAGGCAAUCCCCUGGGCCUGCACUGACGCUCAUGCACGAAAGCGUGGGGAGCAAACAGG